rnacentral:rRNA from 1 species
UACGUAGGGGGCAAGCGUUGUCCGGAAUCAUUGGGCGUAAAGAGCGUGUAGGCGGCCCGAUAAGUCCGCUGUGAAAGUCCAGGGCUCAACCCUGGGAUGCCGGUGGAUACUGUCGGGCUCGAGUCCGGAAGAGGAGUGUGGAAUUCCUGGUGUAGCGGUGAAAUGCGCAGAUAUCAGGAGGAACACCAAUGGCGAAGGCAGCACUCUGGGACGUGACUGACGCUGAGGAGCGAAAGCAUGGGGAGCGAACAGG